rnacentral:misc_RNA from 1 species
GAUGAAGAACGCAGCGAAAUGCGAUAAGUAAUGUGAAUUGCAGAAUUCAGUGAAUCAUCGAAUCUUUGAACGCACAUUGCGCCCGCCAGUAUUCUGGCGGGCAUGCCUGUUCGAGCGUCAUUUCAACCAUCAAGCCCCCGGCUUGUGUUGGGGACCUGCGGCUGCCGCAGGCCCUGAAAACCAGUGGCGGGCUCGCUAGUCACUCCGAGCGUAGUAAUACAUCUCGCUCAGGGCGUGCUGCGGGUUCCGGCCGUUAAAAAAGCCUUCGUAGCCCAAGGUUGACCUCGGAUCAGGUAGGAAGACCCGCUGAACUUAAGCAUAUCAAUAAGCGGAGGA